AACUACAAUGGCAUAGCCUCCUUGAAGGGGAAAAGUCUCGCCACUCGUCAAGAGUGACAGCUGUCGCUGGAUCCCUCUCCUAAGGCGAGUUUGACGCGGCUCGACGACGUCCGUUCUGGACUCAAGAGGGGGAAUCAAACCCGGGGCUCUUUAUCUGUUCGAUCUUGCCUCCUCAUCAAGAGAGGUGCCGCCGUCAACAGCCUUCGCUUCGCGCCAGUUCGGAGUGUCUCGCCACUCGGAGGAUGGGAGCAUAGAACGAACACACACUCACAUUAUCCGAGGCGCCAGAAGAGGCGCCAAAUGACGGGGAAUCAUCGGGAUUGAGUGAGGAGCAAAGAGGGCGCGCGCGUUCCACAUUCGUGCCCACUUUUGUGUCCACGGCCAUUUCUGCCCUCUUCCGGGCUGGAAGUGUGCAAGGCGGUGCGCUCCACAAACGGCGGCUCUUUUUCUUGGGAGACUGGCCUCUACUCCUCAUUUUCCUUUGGAAUGGGACGAAAUAAUAAAGUGAAGGGAACGAAAAUGUCUGUUCCAGUUCAUUGCAAAUGAUAACUGCUUUCGAAGAAAACAUACCCCGCACAUGGUGUUCAUGUCUGUGUAACUGCUCGUCAAAGCAAAACGGGGGGAAUUUUUCCGAUCGUUUUCUUGUUGGAUUUUUUCCUUGAGCACUUUGUCGGAUUUGCGUUUCCAAGAUUGAGUUGGGCCAGAAAAAUAAUCAUGGCUGGUGGUUGGUAAAGACAGAAAGAAAGAAAGAAAGAACGAAAGAGAGAAAAAACAGACAAUAGCGGGAUGGCUUGUGAGCAUAAUUGAUUCUUAUCGGACUAAGAGAUAGGAUAAGAACUUGACUGAGGCCGUCAAUUUUCAUGAAAUGAAGCGAAAAGACCGCUUCGAUGGCUUCGUCCGUCUACAUCCCUCCACAACUACUACAACCACCACUGCCACCACCACCACCACCACACGUCUAAAAAAUGGUCCAUCCAGCAAUCAUAAGUUCAUCCAACCUGGCUUUUUUAUGGAUUAUGAUUGGACUUUAAUACGGUUGGAAGAUUUGCGAUGGAUGAGAAAAACGCUAAUGGAUUCCCACCGCCUCAGCAGGAACCCUGGACGCUGGACGUGUUGGUUGACUUUCGAUUAUGCACCCAGGAUAUUUUAGCCAAACACUCCAUGUUCCAAGAAGAAUUUUUGCAUCGAUGGUUGGGUGUCUUUCCCAAAGAAAAAAAAAUCAAUCUCGUCCAAAGACGGAUAAAUCUCUAUGAGGAUGACCCUGAUUCCCUCUUAUUCAAUACACAUGCUUGAGACCACAAGAACGAAUUGCCUGUGGCGGCCCACCACCGCACAUGGAGACAUUUAAACCAAUAACCACCACCUCCACCACCAACCACCAACCACCAUCACUAUUGCCACGUCAAGUCAGUCAUCAUCGUGCAUCCAUCCCCUAUGUCAGUUUGCAUGUAAGACAGUUUUGCAUGCAAGCACGUUAACAAGGCAAUCACACAACACAGUGGACCCCUCCAACAUGGACCACUCAAUCCAUGGACCUCCGUCCACGUUAUCAGGCCGCUUCAUAGACUCGAAAAGUGCCUGAAGAUCCAACCAGAACCUGAGCCCUCCCCGAUCCUCUCCCCAACUCUUGGACUGGGUGAAUGGUAGCCAGCUCUCUCUCUCUCUGGUCGGAUUAUUAUUAUUCCUCGAGUUUGAAUCUAAUUGACAUGGCAGCCAAGCCAACGAAACUCCUGCCAGUCUCAAAAGAGAUGCUCGCUCUUCCAGUCUUCAUCUCACUCUCAAAACAGCUGGAGGCCGGCUUCCGGAUUUCUGGGUGAGGGCCAGCCAAGCAACUUUUGGAAAAGUACUGAAAGAAAACACUCGGAUGAUCAAAUCAGAUUCCUUGAAUUGAAUAAGGGCGAACGUGACAAUUGAAUAGAGGCUGAUGAUGUUCCACGGAAUGUUUUGAGAGUGAUUCCAAGAGUCAGAUCCUCACGCAACUCAAACCUGAGCGAGCGUAUUGACAAAAAGUCUGAAUUGACGGAGAAACCUGGAGACAUAAUGAGAGAAGAAGGAUUUAAAUUGAAUUCUGCUCUUCAACAUGAAUUACGUCGCAAGUCCUAUGGGAGAGGGGAAGGAAAACGAAAAAGACGUGGAAUAUACCUUGAGUAUGCAUGAAUUGAUUAAAUUUUAAUCGGGCUUCUCGCCCGGAAAAAUAAUUAACCGUCAAAUUGCUCGGGAGCACAAAAAACUAUCGUGUUUCAAUGAGCAAAUAAAAAGGCCAAGAUCAACCAUGGUUUUCAAUCUUCUGCCGGUCUCAAUGACACUUUUGUCAAUUCUGUCAAAGAUUUUCUGUCAAAUUUUUCACUUUGCCUCACAUGAACCUUCAGGUGUGUCAUGCACAACAAAGAUUAAACGGUUCACUUCUCAGGGUGGCCGAUUCCCUUGCUCAGUCAGGGCUCGGUUUUUAAUUUUUAAUGGCCAGAACGAGUCAGUCCUUUCCAUGAAGAGGAACAAAACCAUCGGGAUUCCAGAAUCUAGACAAGUACACAU